ACAGUGCUGGCGGGCCCUGAAGAAGUACCAGGCAGCGAGGAAGCGAGGAAAUGAUCUGAAACAGAAAGAGGAGCUCACUGAAAAUCUGGAGAGACAUUGGACAUAUCAUUCUCACCUGAAAUCUUGGACCCUCUUUACCUGACAUAUUUCCCCCCAACCCCUACAGGCAGCAGUAUUUAAAGGAUAAGAUCACCUGGAGUAAGGGGCAGACUCCCUGGUGAUGACCAUCAUCCAUUGCCUUGAGACCCUGUCCCUCACCCAUCAUGAUCUGGUGGAGCACCUGGGACAGCUGGUGGAGGAGCUGGAGAAGGGCCAGCACAGCCUGGACAGUCUGAAGCAGGAGCACAACACCAACAAGCUGAUGAGAUGAGGAACAGGGAGCUGUCUGAACUGUUUACCCAGUGGGAUAGAGCCAAGGAGAAAAACAAACAGACUGAGAUUAACCUGAUGAUGCACCAAGGCCAGUCCCGAGACCAGGUUGAGGAAGUGGGUAGCAUGCUUAUAGCUGUGAAAAACCUUGCAGAACAGUGUUACUUACACCACUAUGGGCCUCUGGAAGAAAUGGACAUGCUGACAAUGAUGUAUAUGGUAAAGGAAUACAUUCAGGAGAGGGCAGACAGAGAAGAGAGCAACAUGACUGAUAGACGAGUGCCAGAGUACAGAGGAUCACUGAAAAACAUUAACAGUAAAACACAACUAAAAAGUUACUUUACAUUUGUAUUUAAGGUUGUUGUAAUACUGUUAUAAUAGUAUAGUUUGUGGUGAUAAGUUGCUGAUGAAGGAAAUUGUUGGGGUUAUACCAUGCAGUUGUACAUGCAUUACUCAUAUACCCUAAUCAAAGAUUGAUGUUCAAAAAUUGUUAGGAUGAAUUCCAAUGUUCAUUAGUUUGCUUUAUUCAUUAAAAAAAGAUAUUACAAAAUGUUCAUCUGACAAAAUGUAU